CACCAACACCACUUCCUCUCUCUUCCCCCUCCCUCUAUUUCUUCCUCUUCCUCAUUCUUCAUCCUCCUCUUCCCCUUUUCCACCACGUCCCACCUUUCCCUUCUCCCUCCGCUUCCUCAAUUUGGUCUUGACCAAAUCAAGGCAUCUGGUUGCAACCAGAUCUGGGGGAAGGGAAUGGAGAGAGGUGGGGAAGGUGGAUGUGACGGAAAAUGGGAGAGAAAAGGGAGGGGAGGAGGAAAGAGAGGGAAGAGAGAGAAGGAGCAAGAAUAUAGAGAGAAAGAAAGGGAGGAGGAGAAAGGAGAUGAUGGCUGCGGCGGCGGCAGUCGAUGUUAGUGGUAGAUGGAAUAAGAAAAUUGCGUAGAUUUUAUUUUUUAAAUUUUUUUUGUAUAUUUGGAAUUAUUUUUGAUAUAUUGUAUAGAUGUGAUAUUUUUAAAGUUUUUUUGUUUCUAUAUUACUGUAGCAUUGUAAAUAAAAAACUUGUAUUUCAAAAAAUGAAGAAUCCAAAUAGUGCUUAUGAC
rnacentral:lncRNA from 1 species